rnacentral:sRNA from 1 species
UUUAUUUUCCUAAGGGUAGGUCUUUGACCGUCUGUAAUUUUUCAGAAACCUUAUCCACAUUUAUGAUUUAGACUUAACACACCUAUGCUGAUGACUUUCAUUUUUGAUCACCCUCUCCCUUGAAUUCUAUCUACCUUAUUAGGCAGUUCAUAGUAUAUCAAGCUUUUCUGUAUACAUAAAUCUAAUAAAGAUAUUAGGCUGACCCAUCUGAAAUUGCAAUUUUUGUAGGUCAAAAACUGUUAACAUAUUGACAGUAUCAAACCUAAAAAAGAAACUGUAGCUCUCAUUUUAAUAAUUUUUUCUUUACAUUUGCAUUUAACAUUGCAGAACCUUUUGAUGGAACAAAUACAGCCAGAGCAGUGCACGAAAAGCAGAAAUUUGAUAUGAUCAAGGAUCAAUUUUUAAAGUCAUGGCACAGAUUGAAAAACAAGAGAGAUUUGAACAGUAUACUACCUGUAAGAGCUGCUGUCCUGAAAAGAUAACUGGCCUCUAUUUCUUAAUAAAUUCUUCCAAGAAAUAAAGAACAAUAGUUUCAUCAU